rnacentral:rRNA from 1 species
GACGAACGCUGGCGGCGUGCUUAACACAUGCAAGUCGAACGGAAAGGCCCUGCUUUUGUGGGGUGCUCGAGUGGCGAACGGGUGAGUAACACGUGAGUAACCUGCCCUUGACUUUGGGAUAACUUCAGGAAACUGGGGCUAAUACCGGAUAGGAGCUCCUGCUGCAUGGUGGGGGUUGGAAAGUUUCGGCGGUUGGGGAUGGACUCGCGGCUUAUCAGCUAGUUGGUGGGGUAGUGGCUUACCAAGGCGUUGACGGGUAGCCGGCCGGAGAGGGUGACCGGCCACACGGGAACUGAGGCAGGGUCCAGACUCCUACGGGAGGCAGCAGUGGGGAAUAUGGGACAAUGGGCGCGAGCCUGAGCCAGCGAUACCGCGUGGGUGAAGAAGGCGUGCGGGUUGUAAAGCCCUUUUGUUGGGAAAGAAAAGCAGCAGGUUAAGACGCCGCUGUUCUGACGGUACCCAAAGAAUAAGCACCGGCUAACUUCGUG